UACGGGGGGGGCAAGCGUUGUUCGGAAUUACUGGGCGUAAAGGGCGCGUAGGCGGUGCUCUAAGUCGGAUGUGAAAACUCUGGGCUCAACCCAGAGCCUGCAUCCGAAACUGGAGUGCUAGAGUUCUGGAGGGGGUAGCGGAAUUCCUGGUGUAGCGGUGAAAUGCGCAGAUAUCAGGAAGAACACCUAUGGCGAAGGCAGCUCUCUGGGACGGUACUGACGCUGAGACGCGAAAGCGUGGGGAGCGAACAGG
rnacentral:rRNA from 1 species